rnacentral:lncRNA from 1 species
ACUAGAGAGAGAAGGGGAUGAAUAACUAUUUGCCAGGUGUGAGCGGGUAGCCAAUUCCAUGCCUUCUGGUUGGAAAAACCACAAAUAACAAGGCGCAAAUGAGCCCAAUUCCAACCGGUGCAAUGUUCAAAACCUCCUGCGUUUCAUGUUUUGGUGUUGGAUAGAAGCAGUUCAAGACAUUCUUCUCCCUCAAAGCCACGGCACCGAACACAAGCACGGACAAAACUGCGUGAACUCCAUCAAUGAACUUGAUUCUAUACUUGGUCAAAUCAGGCAGGCCUGAACCUGUAGGAUCAGGAUAGUCAAACAGGAACAUUCCUUUGAAUGUAGCAAAACCAUAAUAAACUUGUCCAUCUGAUGACUUAACGCUGUCUGUGAAGGAAGCAAGAAAGCAGGAAAGGGCAAGGAGGAAAAGGAGGAUGAGCGUCAUGGGGCGAGUAGCGGAAUCACACGAUCCGUUGUUAGUAAAAAUUGGCACGAGGAGUUGGAAGGCUAGGAGCGUGCCUGUAGGAAGAAGGUUGGCUAAGUUUGCCGUGCUUGUCAAGGUUUGCGAGAUCGCCCGUUGAGAUAAAGUGGGUGGCUUUGAUGGUGAUUUUGGUGUUUCAGGCUCAUGGUUGUUCCUUCUUGUUGUUGGUUCAUCUGAUGAUUGAGAUGGUUGCCUGGAAACUAUAGAUCUUGCCCUCAGAGAUGUUUCCGACAUCGCUUC